GAUGAGUCUCUCGUUUGCGUUUUACUAUCAACUCUCAUCGACUUUGAACUGGUUUCAAAUUUUGAUGACAGUUGAUCAGUUUUUGCUCAUCCGACCGGUAAUAUCCAGUCCACUCUCUUGUUCUCGUUUGACCGGGGCAUGAGAGUUGAGAAAACACCCAUGGAAAAUGUCAACUCUCGCUUCUCAACUCUCAUGUUGUAAACUCUCGCUUCUCAACUCUUACAUAAACGUUCGUUUCUCAACUGUCAUGUUGUAAACUCGCGCUUCUCAACUCUCACAUAAACUCUCGUUUCUCAACUCUCAUCAACUUAUUCAACUCUCAUGUAAACUCUCGCUUCUCAACUCUCAUGUAAACUCUCGCUUCUAACUCUCAUGCAAAUUUUCUCGCUUCUCAACUCUCAUGCAAACUUUCUCGCUUCUCAAUUCUCAUGCAAACUUUCUCGCUUCUCAACUCUCAUGCAAAAUUUCUCAACUCUCAUGCAAACUUUCUCAACUCUCAUGCAAACUUUCUCGCCUCUCAAUUCUCAUGCAAACUUUCUCGCCUCUCAAUUCUCAUGCAAACUUUCUCGCUUCUCAAUUCUCAUGCAAACUUUUUCGCUUCUCAACUCUCAUACAAACUUUCUCGCUUCUCAACUCUCAUGCAAACUUUCUCGCUUCUCAACUCUCAUGCAAACUUUCUCGCUUCUCAACUCUCAUGUAAACUUUCUCAAUUCUCAACUCUCAAAACUUUCUCAACUCUCAUGCAAACUUUCUCAACUCUCAACUCUCAUACAAACUUUCUCAACUCUCAUGCAAACUUUCUCGCUUCUCAACUCUCA
rnacentral:lncRNA from 1 species